ACAGUGGUUGUUCAGUGGUAGAACCCUUGCCUUCCAUGCAGGAGACCAGGGUUUGAUUCCUGGCCAAUGCA
rnacentral:tRNA from 1 species